rnacentral:rRNA from 1 species
GACGUAGGGCGCAAGCGUUGUUCGGAAUUACUGGGCGUAAAGCGCGUGUAGGCGGCUGCGCAAGUCGGAUGUGAAAUCCCAUGGCUCAACCAUGGAAGUGCACCCGAAACUGCGUAGCUAGAGUCUCGGAGAGGAAGGCGGAAUGCUUGGUGUAGAGGUGAAAUUCGUAGAUAUCAAGCGGGACACCGGUGGCGAAGGCGGCCUUCUGGACGAUGACUGACGCUGAGACGCGAAAGCGUGGGGAGCAAACAGG